UGAUUUACCGUUGAAUAAGUAUUUUUAAUAUUUUGUGGAGUCAGUAUCAGAAGAGAAAUAAAAUAAAAUCUAUAUUAUAUGUUAAAUAUCGAAGUAAAUGUGCAUGUUUUUUUGUUUUUGUUUUUAUCCGUGUGUGCGCGUGAGAGAGAAAGAGAAUGUAUGUGUGAGUGUGUGUGAGCGUGUUUUUUCACAGAGAGGAGCUCUGCCCUCCAGAGAGGAAAACAUCAGACUGGCUGCCUCUCUCACUCCAGACCCCGUCGCUGUUUGAUUGACAGAAGAAACAAGAGGCCACGGCGAGGCCGAAGUGAAAGAGGCGCUGACAAGAUCCUUCACGCCCCCCCCCCCCUUUUCUUUGAGCUCAAGAGGCAGGACUGGAUUUGAUGUCAGAGUCUGAGAUGGCCGCCUUGAUAAAGUCGGUCUGGCUUGCCGAGACUGGCAGCCAUCCCUUCUCGGAAAAGAAAACAGAAAGGCCCUUCAUAAACAGAAGAAAAUGGCCGUUACUGAAGAAAAACAGCUAUGCACCAAUGCGUGCUGGUGAUUUGGAACGUUACGACUGUGCACACAUAAAUACUGAUGGGCUUUUAUGAAUGUCUCUUUGAAAAUGGUGCUUCAAUGAGGAAGCGAGAGGCCCAAAAUAUGUGCGGUAGGUUGCAUGUGGCCAUCGUGUGUAUUAAUCAGGUGAAGGCAUGUCGCUCCCGUGUUUGAGGAAACCUUUUUCAGUCCAAACCGUGGCUAUUGUGACCACUACUAAUGGACUUCCUCGCCCUGUCCCUCCUUAUUCCCCCAUAUCAUAUCCAUGCAUCCCUCUGGGAGCUGAUUAAAAGGCUUUCUACCUCGGGCGAGGGGGAGAAGAUGAGUAGCAAGUGAAGAAGAGUGGUCCUUAUUACCCUGGAUGUCUGUACAUGAGAGGGUGGAGUGAAGGUCCUCUUUAGUUAAUCGAUAGAGAUAGCGUUCGCCUACACUGUCGGUGUCUCUCGGCCUCUCUCCCCCUCGUCUCCCUCAUGCCAUUAGAGAUAAUGUGUCUCCUAUUGACACAGCUAGGUCUCGGGACCAUGACAGAAAUACAGUUGAGCCACUGUGAGGUCGAGCGCUGAGUCAUUAAAAAAAACAACAACAAAAAAAAAAGUGGUUGC